rnacentral:tRNA from 1 species
CGGGCUGUGGCGCAGUUUGGUAGCGCACCUGCUUUGGGAGCAGGGGGUCGUGGGUUCAAGUCCCGCCAGCCCGACCA